rnacentral:lncRNA from 1 species
ACUGCGCCUACGGAUGGUCCCUAGGUUCCUUGAAUUUUUUCUUGGGAACUGAAAUGCACUUAGAGUACCUACAUAUGUCCCAAAUAACCUAAAAAUCAGAUAUAGUGCUUACUCGGCCAAUUUCAGAAUUACGGUAUGGCGGCUCUGCUAUGCUCUGGCGACGGCACCGCCACGGGUGGUGCCGAUCCGCAUCGGGUUGGCUGUUUUUGGCCGAAUUCAGCCAAACUUUCAUCGGUUCCUGUGAGAAAACACACUUAGGGCCCUCGGUGAACCAAAAAAAGUAAAAAAUCGAAACUCACUGGCGGUGAGGCUCUCCGGUGCGGCAGCUCCUCCGGCUCACGUUGCGGUUGGGUGUUUUGCUUCAGUCAACCUGUAG